GACGAACGCUGGCGGCGUGCUUAACACAUGCAAGUCGAACGCUGAAGCUCAGCUUGCUGGGUGGAUGAGUGGCGAACGGGUGAGUAACACGUGAGUAACCUGCCCCCUUCUUUGGGAUAACGCCCGGAAACGGGUGCUAAUACUGGAUAUUCACUGAUCUUCGCAUGGGGGUUGGUGGAAAGGUUUUUUCUGGUGGGGGAUGGGCUCGCGGCCUAUCAGCUUGUUGGUGGGGUGAUGGCCUACCAAGGCUUUGACGGGUAGCCGGCCUGAGAGGGUGACCGGUCACAUUGGGACUGAGAUACGGCCCAGACUCCUACGGGAGGCAGCAGUGGGGAAUAUUGCACAAUGGGCGAAAGCCUGAUGCAGCGACGCCGCGUGAGGGAUGGCGGCCUUCGGGUUGUAAACCUCUUUCGCUCAUGGUCAAGCCGCAACAUUGGUUGUGGUGAGGGUAGUGGGUAAAGAAGCGCCGGCUAACUACGUG
rnacentral:rRNA from 1 species